AGGACGUUGGGGUCUUGCUGCUCCUUGACAUCCUGGUCCCUCCUUUUCAGCAAGGCCUAGAAGGAGAUUCACUUUGCUUCAGGACUGGGCAAAUUCAAAGCAUUUAAAUCCUUCCUGCUUUUUUUUUUUUUACCUCUGUGCGUCAGGAGUAGCUGGAAAUACUGGGCAUCUACAUCCACUUGGAUUUUGCAAAACAGAGCCUGUGAUAGGGAUUGUUGUGACUUGUCAUAGGUAACAUCUGGUCUGAAAAGGAAAGACCAAACUACUCUGGGAAUGAACUCUUUCCAAUGAAUGUCUCUGCUCCCCAAGGCACAUCCCCAGGAUGGGAUUUAGAUUGUGUAAAUCUUAAUCUUUAAAAUCUCUGACCUGUUUUCCUCCUGGGUCCUGGAAGAAGGCUUGUGACAGGCGGCUGGGAACGUUUCAAAUGUGCUCCACCUGGGUGCUUCUCAGACCUCAGUAUGCUUUUCCUUCUCCGAACCAUUUGUCAAAAUGCAGAUUCCUGUCCCUUAGGUUGGGGUGGGUGGGGCUCAAGAUUCUGCCUUUUGGGAAGUGCAUCUUGGUGCUCAGGAGCCCACUCCAAGGCCUAAAUGAUUCAUUCUGUCUUCCUCAGUGACAGUGAGGGAGGAUGGACAUGGGGUGGGCAGGGUGCAAAGGUUCUGGAAAAUUCCGGCUCACAGCCCCACCAGUGUUGUGCCCAUUUGCAGGCCUUCUGCAGUUAGGUUUGGAAUAAACCAAGCCAGGCUGUACUCUUUCGGGAGCCUGCCUGUGGGAGACGGAGUAGAGACAGGUUUCAGAUGGGAAAGAGAUGAGGCCGAUACAGAGAAAGAUAAAGACGGACGAGACAGACAGUCUCUGCUGUAAUUUCUGUCACUCUCUAUCUCUCCCAUCCUUUCCUCUCUGUUUCAAUUUCUUUUUUUUCUCUGUCUUGUUUCCCUCAUUGCUUUUCUGUCUGUUGUGAGAUAACAGAAUAAUUUCACUAAAGCUCAGAGGCAGUGGGGGCUUGGAAAGCAGCACCUGAGCCCUAACUCUGCCAGCGGACGUAGCCGGGAGCUGGGCCGGUCACUUGGGGUCUCUGGGCCUCAGUUUCCUUUUCUGUACUGUGAGCCAGGUUGGUUAGAUGACCUUUAGGCUCUCUCCUGCUCCCCACUGCUAAGAUUGAUAAUCCAUGUAAAUAUGUUUAUCUGCUACUUGGGGCAAAUCUGUUCAACUUUCAAUGUAAAUGAGCUAACUGUGAGUUGUCAGGGUUACUGGAGUGCAUAAUUCCCAUUUCUGCAGGGCGUGCAGCCCCGUGCUUCUGAAGCUCUGGAGUGAGAAUCAUACCCGCCCCUCCCAGCACCACCCCAGCGCAUAGGGUGUGCGUGAACCACCCUCCGGAUUUCUCAGAAUUAAAAAUCUGUUCUUCUUUAGGGCUUUCACAGCCUUUGUCAUUCCAGGAAUUUAAACUAUUACCAUUAUUAUUAUUCAUAUCGUUUUAGGGGCAGAUUCUCAUCUUACGUCCCCAGAGUCGGAACACUCGCUUGGAACCCUUCAGUAGAAGCAAGCCUGUUUUGUAAAGAAUGUCAGACUUUGUGCUUCUUGGGAAAGGGCCCUGUUGCUUCAGGAGAGCUGGGGUGUGGUGGAGGGAAGGGGAGUAACCCAACACCUCUCUUUUGAUUUUCAUGUAAUCGUUUGUGUUGCAAAUGCAACAGGCAAACAGGUAACCAGACAAGAAACCAGGAGAAGAAAGACAGAAGCCAGGAAGCAUGGCGGAGGGUAAGGCCUGUCCACUGGAGUCUGUCACCCCCCAGGAAGAAUCUCAGCUAGGCUCAGCCCUUGUUCUGCAUCUGUAGGGAUCAUGAAACCAGCUGGGAGAGAGGUUGACAUUGUUCUGGAACAUUUGGCAAUGAUACAGAGAAACAGGACUUCACCUUUGGCAGUUAUCAACGGACAAAACCACCACAAUUUACCCGGGCGGGGUGGUGCCCGCCUGCAAUCCCAGUGGCUUGGGAGGUCGAAGCAGGAGGAUCCCCAAGUUUAAAGCCAGCCUUAGCAAAAGCAAGGCACUAAACAACUCUGUGAGACCCUGUUGAUAAAUGAAAUACAAAAAAGGGCUGGGGAUGUGGCUCAGUGGUUGAGUGCCCCUCAAUCCUGAGCUCAAUCUUUGGUACCACAAAAAAACUACCACAAUUUAGUAGAAAGACCUUAUCUGCAAUUUUGAAAGCAGGCCACACUUCACUCCAUGAAAUCGAGUUAAGUGGACAACAGGACCUGAAGAAAGAAGCUCAAAAAGAGAAAGUGGAUCAGACAUUCCAAAAUCACUCUCCUCGUAAGGACAAGAAGAUAGAACUAUAGAAAAAUAACUGGUUAACAUCGGGUUACUUCCCAUUACCUUUUUUCCUCUCUCUCUCUUUUUAAAUUUUUAAUCGUAAGGAUUAAGACAGAGGGAAGUUCUUUAUCGUGCCAAUUGAAACUGGGCAGUUGGGGAAAUCUGGCUGUUAUUUCUGUAAUCCUGAUUUCUAGGAAGGUCAGAUAACAGCUUAAUUUUGGUUUGGUGCCCUGGAAUUUUAGUGCAAGUGACUUCAUUUUGAAUUUUAGUAGAGGAGUCUCGUCCCAACCAAUGGCCUUCUAUAAUUUUUGCUUGACAGUAGCUAGGGGCACUUAGAGAUUGCUUCUUAGAAAUGGUGACUAACACAGAGGUCUUCAUCUGUGUUGUCACAGGUCCCUGGGCACCCAAGGUCCCUUAGCCAGUGAGGGUGGUGAUAAGAAAGCAGCCCUAAGUCUCAAGCAUCCCUUCACUGGACGGAACCUGUGGGACCAAGCAGCCCAGACCUGGAGGGGAAGGGAAGGCAGCCUAUGAAACUUCGAGAGAGGGUACCCAGAUCAUCACUUGCUUUUGCUGGACUUCAGUCUUGACCCUUGGACCUCAAAGUGCAUUCAUAAAUAAGCAAUUAGCCAAGCCAAAUAUGCCAGUCGAGAAAUCAGUUUCCUAGAACUGCUACUUCAGAGAAUUUUCGGUACAUCUGGGGAGGUAGGAGAUAGGUAUGCUAAAGGGAGGGGAGAAAAUUGCCCUGGGGGGUGGGAAGUGGCUUGGUGUGAGUGUAGGAUUGUUGUGAUUUUUCUCUUCUUUAUUUUCCUAGGAACUCGUCCUAGCUGAAUGCUUCUGAGGGUCUCUAUAACGCCUUUCAGAUGCUGUCCAUGUUCAUCUACCUGAUAAAACCUCUUCUAAGGAGAAAGGCAUGGAAAACUCUUGGUCAAAGGCCCCGUCCUGAUUCAUUUUCUUCUCUUUCUCUCUCUCUCCCCCUCUCCUCUAUGCUGAGAUGGAGCCCAGGGCCUCAGUGGCAGGCAGGUGCUCUGCCACUGAGCCAUCCAGCUCUUCAGCUGCUUUCCAAGGGGAUUCUCUGCUGCCUUGCUUUCCCUGUUCCAAAGAACUCUCCUCAGUGCAGCCAGAGAGAUCAGCUGGAACUAUAAGUCAGAUCGGGCCACCCUUUGUUAUAAAUUGCUUUCAUAACUUUUCAUGGCUAUUUCUAAUUUUUUUUUUUUUUUUUGGUGGUGCUGGGGAUUGAACCCAUGGCCUUGUGCAUGCAAGACAAGCACUGUACCAACUGAGCUAUAUCCCCAGCCCUAUUUCUAAUUUUUAAUAUGAUACACACCUAUGAAUCUCUUGCCCACAAGAAGUGGCACAUUAGCCAUGACCCCUGUCUCCCCGAGUGUGCUGCACCCCGUCCCGUAAGGUUGUCAGCUCACUCUUCUGAACCUUGCAUUGAACUAUUCCCUUGCUUUAUGGAAAUGUAUGGUACCUAAGUGGAUUUAUAAGGGUACAUUUACACAUACAUAUUACAUAAAGAUAUUUCUAAAAAAUGCCACGUUAAAUUUUACUUGCCUUUAACUAACUGUAUGGAAAGCUGAUCAAGCUGCGUGCUGUCUUCUGGGACCGCUUUCUUCAUGUAAUGAUCUGUUGCUAAGAUUCACUCAUGUUGCUGAAUGACAUGGUAAUAUAUUUGUUUUCAUCAUUUUUUAAUAUUCCAUUAUUUGAAUAUACCAUUGCUUACUUAUCUCUUCUCCUGUGGUCUUGCGGUUGCUUUCUGAGUUUUGCUAAUGAAACAGGACUGCUGACCCUGUGCAACUUUCCACUGUUCUGACUGUAAAGGCAAAAGCCUUUGUGGUCUCUGCAUGGCCUACCUGACGCUCCGCCUCUGCUCAUUCCUGUCUCCCUCAUUUUCUGUGCUUCACUUCAACCUGGCACAGUACAGGGUCGGACAAAGAAAGAAAGCUGUGCUCAAGAAAUUGAAAUGUUACUCUUUCUCUUUCCCUCCCCUCUGUUAACUUCAAAAUUUCCUACAAAUCCCCCAAAGUGGCCAGUCUAUACUGUGUCAUCUCUUACCUGACAUUCCAGAGCAGGAACUCAGCGCCUAUUUUGUGUGUUGAUGGCCCUAUGUGCCUCCUCCCUGGGGGCCUUGCCUGGUUAUCCUCUGGAGCACACUGUGUCUGCACAGCAGUGUGGUUUACAACUGCUUUGGAGCAGGGGCUGGCUGCUGCUGUUCACACUUAUACCCCCAGGACCCCAUGCUUUGCCUGGCACAAAAUAGGAACUUGAUUUAGGUUUUCAAGUGAACAGAAGGCAUGUGGAGAAACCCUCAGCUAAGUGAAAUAAGCCAGACUCAGAAAGUCAAGGGGCAAAUAUUUUCUGUCGUAUGGGGAAGCCAGAAAGAAGAAAGGUCUAAAAAGGGGGAUCUAGUGAAAAUAGAAGGGAGGUCAGUAGAGAAGAAGUGGUUGACGAAGGGGAGG
rnacentral:lncRNA from 1 species